GAUGAACGCUGGCGGCGUGCCUAAUACAUGCAAGUCGAGCGAACAGAUGAGGAGCUUGCUCCUCUGACGUUAGCGGCGGACGGGUGAGUAACACGUGGAUAACCUACCUAUAAGACUGGGAUAACUUCGGGAAACCGGAGCUAAUACCGGAUAAUAUAUUGAACUGCAUGGUUCAAUAGUGAAAGACGGUUUUGCUGUCACUUAUAGAUGGAUCCGCGCCGCAUUAGCUAGUUGGUAAGGUAACGGCUUACCAAGGCAACGAUGCGUAGCCGACCUGAGAGGGUGAUCGGCCACACUUGAACUAAGACACGGUCCAGACUCCUACGGGAGGCAGCAGUAGGGAAUCUUCCGCAAUGAGCGAAAGCCUGACGGAGCAACGCCGCGUGAGUGAUGAAGGGCUUCGGAUCGUAAAACUCUGUUAUUAGGGAAGAACAAAUGUGUAAGUAACUAUGCGCGUCUGAACGGUACCGAAUCAGAAAGCCACGCCAAACUACGU
rnacentral:rRNA from 1 species